UGGCGAGAAUGUGCACAAAACCUUCCAAGACCAAUAAGUCUCCUCUCACUCCUAGCUGAGAAGGCAGCCCACUGCCAAGCCUGGUCACUUACUUGGUUACAUUCAGAACGAUUAGCAGUAAAUUAAAGGCCCCUUCCCUGUGCUGAGGAAGAGAAGGGUUAACAGACAUUUGCAUUGAGAUCACUGUUACAUCACUAAAAGUUAUGCUGGAAUAAGGGAUUACGAUGCUGGAGCAGGAGGCAGGUGGGAAGAACAGAGUGAAAGAGGAAGGGAGAGAGCUCUUGCUGUGAUGAAUUAGAUCACCCCUGAAGACUGGCAGCACAGGGGAAGGGGGAACUGGAUGACCCUGACAGCACGGACCAAUGGCUUUAUGAUGGUCAAGGGCACACACGUGGAGUCAGAUGCUUGGGCGCAAAACACGUCUCCACCAAUUACAUGUCAUGCUACCUUACACAAGUUACUUAACCUGAUGUAAGUCUUCAUUUACUCACCUUACUAAUGAGUAUGAUAACACUAUCUCUGUCCUAGGCAUAUUUAUGAAGAUUAAAUGAGAUGAUACAUAGAAAGCACAGUGCCUGGCCCAUAAGCUUUCAACAGAAGUUAUCAAUGGAUGAUGAUGAUGAUGACCAGUCCUAAGACUGAGGAUUUGCUACAGCAGGUGGCGAACAGGAGGACACCACCCAACAAACUCCUAACACCCAGAUCUCCUUCUCUGAGCCUGCUUUCUGGGGAACCCAAACUCUGACAGGGAUUUACUGGGGAAAGGGGUGCCCGAUCAAGUCUCUGACACGAACAUGACAUGUUGCCUGUGAUGAUUUUAAAACAGCCCAGAUGGCUUCACUGCCCCAUCCAGUACGCCUCUAGGUCACCCACCUCCACAGUAAAUGAGAAAAUUAAGCCCAGAGAGGUUAAAGAUCCUGACAAAAACCUCCCAGCAAGAAGAACUGAUGCUUUGGGUCAAAUCUGGCACUCCCAGACUUCAAGCCCUGUACCACACUGAAUAUUAAUUUGGCACUAUUGUAAAGAGUUAUUGUCAAAGUUAUUGUAAAAAGCUGUGACUUUAACAAGAGAAUAAGAAGAACAAAUACAGACUCAUGGAUCCCUCAUUUUACAAAUUUAGAUUUUGUAUACUGGGUCUCCUUAAAUCAGGAGACACCUGGAUACACAAGUAAGUCAAAUUCACAAACAACAAAGCCACAGGGAAAUGUAGCAUUGUCCUUUACUCCUUGCAGAAGCUACAUCUUCUCAGUAACUCAAGUGAGCUUGCUUUUUACAAUCGAAAUGUUUUCCUUUGUAUGCAGAGUAACGGAGCAUAGCAGAAUACAUGCCUUCAGCUACAAAAAUCUGUAAAUCAACACACACACUCCAUCAUGUUGUGACCGUGAGAACAUACACCCUCACAAGCCAGGAGACAGUCUCUGUCAAAGGAAGAGCUGAGUACUGAUCAGCCCAUAAAAACAGAACUGAGAUUGAAAAAACAUCUUAUAACUGAUAAACGCAUUGCUAUCAUAACAUCAACAGCUUGGAGUCGACAAAAACUAUAUUGGUUAAAUUAAGUCUUCUACAUAAAGAUGUCAAAUGUUACAACUUCACUAUUACAGUAAAGAAUAGCUUCAAAACGUGCCUAAACUGAAGAAUAAGAUGAUACCAUCCUUAGAAAUGACUUUAUAGAAUUGUCGAUUCUAAAAUCAUGAAUCUCUACCCAAGCAUCAAAUUUCUAUUGGUUUGGGCUGCAUCUUCCAGUGGCAUGUCAUCCCAGUCCUAGCCAUCUGAACCAUUUUCAUAUCUUGCUUCUAACAUAAGGAACACAAGUGUCUGUAGUGACUAUUCCUAGAUUUCUCCCUUAAUCAUAGAGUGCUAUGAAAUCUGGACACAGUUGAAAUUUGAAUCUAUAACAGUUCUUUCAGAUUUUCUUUGACGGUAAAGCAGUAGUCUUCCAGGCUUCUUUUUGCCUCGAGUCCUGUAUAUUUUCUGGAUUGGAUUAUUACAGCUCUAGGCUUUCUUUAAAAUACUGAAACGUUAAAAGCUCAUGAGGACACAGAAGUUAGCCCUGAUGAGAAUUCACCUUUUAAAUGAGCUAAGUCAUGAGAUUCAUCGCUGGGAACACACACACACACACACGCACACGCACACACACACAAACUUUUGAGGACAUUGGGAUUGCUCAAAUAUCCACUAAAUGUGCCUCUACAUUUAACCUUGACAUUUUAUUUUCAGAAUGUCUUUUCAUCACUUAGAAAUGUAGCCACAUGAUUUUUCAAUCCAACUUGUAAGAUGAAAGUAAGCCUUUCUUGAGCAUGAUUUACAUUUCCUGUAUUUGUUCCUUAUAAAUUACAUUUAAGCCGAAUAUUCUGAUUUAUGAAGUUCCAUUUCCUUGUCUUUCCAUAAGAAAAAAGGCACGUGUCCAAGAUUAGAUUCUAAACAAUCCACUGCCUUUAAUUAUGAAAAACCUAUGUAACACAGGGAAGUUUGAGGAGAAGAAAAUCAUAUGCCUACAAAAAGAAAUAAUUCAGUAUUGCUAAAUCAGUAUUGAAAUUAGAAAUGGAAGAGGCUUGUCAAAUCAAAGUUUGCAUUUGACACCCAGAUUUAGCAUGCCAGAGAUGUUGGGUCACCAGAGGUGCCUCCAAUCUUUUGAUAAAGUGGAGAAACUGAAAAAGAACAUUUAAGGAGCAAGGCCCUUAAUCAAAGGCAAGUCCUCAUAGAUCAGAAUAUCAGACAGAAAUAUGUAAGAUGCAGGAGAGGCAAAUGGAGAAAUAACACUGAAACAUCAAGGAGAUAAAACUUUAUUUGAAAGUUUUCUUGACAGAGAUGCAAGUCCUGUAUGGUAUCUACACUGACAGUGUCCAGGGAUUAGGGUUUACAAGGGAACUGUUACAGCCAGAAGAGCCAGAGGGGUCAAAGGCUGAAUGAUAUUAUUGUGUGUAAAACCACAACCUUUCAUCUAUGGAAUGUAACCUAAUCCUUAGAAAUCUCCUUCCCUGUUUCCCUCCUAGUAAAGAGCAAUGGCUUGUAGUAAACAUUCUUCUGAGUGUGCACGUGAGUUGGGGAGAGAGGAGAUAUGGAAGUAGGGGCACUGGACUGAUACAGCAGAAACAACAAGAAGCAGAUGCUGGCAUUUACCCAAAUAAUCAGAGCAGAAUUAUCUAAAAAUUAUCUAAAAAUUUUAAGCAUCUUUAGAUUUCACCAUAUGACCUUUGAUUAGACAAAUCUUUUGUAAGGCCUGGUCCUGUUUGUCUUUUAUUGUUGUCCUUUGUUAAAAAAAAAAAUUCUGAUACUAGUAACUAGUUGCUACAAGCCAUUUAAAAAGGAGAAACCUACCAAAAAACAGUGAAAUGGGGUAAAAGGAACUUGCUGAUAAGCAAUCUCUAAAAUUUAUCAGAAUCCCUGUCGAGAGUCCACCCACACACCCUGCAUUCUGAAUUGCGUACAGAGCCUCUUUCCUGAUUUAUUGCAUCUCUCCACACAUUGAAGAGAUGAGGCUAGCAUCUGCCAGUGUAGGAAAUACUGUAUCUUCAUGCCAGCCUGCCAGUUCCUUCAAUGCAACUCCAAGAGUUAAAGAGGAUUUGUUCAUUUCAACCAGGUUGCUGUUGCAACAGGGUUAAUGAAAACAAAGGUAAAGAGAUAAAAUGGGCUCUAACCUGUUGAGCAAAUUGGGCUCUCUCAGUGGAAAUGGGGAAUAAAGUCUGCUACACAUUUAUGUUACACAUAAUAUAUGAUCUUAUGUGCGUGUGCGGUAGUGUGGUUUCUUUUUUUAAAUGAAGAUGCGUACAGCAGAAUGGUUAAGAGUAGAAGUUUCUUUCCCUCACAAUACAUACCUAUAUCAAGACAUCAAGUCAAACACCUUAAAUAUAUAUAAUUUUUAUUUGCCAAUUAUACCUUAAUAAAGAUGGAAAGAAAACGAGUAGGAGUUCUGGAGUCAGAUUGCCUGGGGUUAAAUUCUAGCUGUUUCACGUAUUUGCUUGGUCAAUUUGACCAAGUAUAUUUUAAGUUCCUUUAUCCUCAGUUUCUACAUGUGUUUUGUUUGUUUGACUGAUUGAUUUUCGGUAUUUGUCCUGUUUUGUGUUCUCUGAGCUCCUAGGAUCUAUGGUUUUGUGUCUGCACUAACUUUGGAAAAUUCUCAGCCUCCUGAAGAAAAUUCAAAUAUUUCCUUGGCCUCAUUCUCUUUUCCCUGCGGAAUUCCAAUUAUCCAUAUGUGAGAUCUGUGGACAUCAAGGGUGACUGAGAUUUUCUGAGGCUGUCUUGAUUUCAGAGUACCUCAAUUGUUAGCCUCAAAAUACAGUCAACAUAGAUUUAACCCAGUUUCUACAUUGCCAUUUGAGAUCUCUGUCAUUCAAAUAUGUAUGUAGUGGUGUACAUACACUCUUCAAUGUCUAUAAGGGUUACUAAGGGAGUUUGGUACACAUGUAGAAUUUGAGGACAGGAAUUCUGACUCAGUGGAUCAGGGUUAAAGCCAGGAGUAUGUAUAUUUACCAAGCAUCCUGAAUGAGGCUGAGGCAGGUGGUCUGGGGGCUAUAUUUAAAUAAACAUCAACUCAACAAAUCUCUUACUAUUUUCUACUUGUGGCACUCCAAUAAGCUCUGUAAGAUUAAUGGCCCUCUGCUUGAACCUAUACUUUGAUUCAUUCAUCUUAAAAUUGUCUUGGUUUUAAUUCAAGAAUAAACUUUUCUUACAACUCUCCUAGGAUGGCUAAAAUUGAAAGCACUGACAAUACCAAGUGUUGACAAGGAUGUGGAAAAACUUGAAUUAUCAUGAACUGCUGGUCAAAGUGUAAACUAGAAUAAUCACUUUUGAAAACUCUGGAGUAUCUAUUCAGGCUA